rnacentral:rRNA from 1 species
CCUACGGGUGGCUGCAGUGGGGAAUAUUGGACAAUGGGGGGAACCCUGAUCCAGCCAUGCCGCGUGUGUGAAGAAGGCCCUCGGGUUGUAAAGCACUUUCAGUGAGGAAGAACGCCUGGUGGUUAAUACCCAUCAGGAAAGACAUCACUCACAGAAGAAGCACCGGCUAACUCCGUGCCAGCAGCCGCGGUAAUACGGAGGGUGCGAGCGUUAAUCGGAAUUACUGGGCGUAAAGCGCGCGUAGGUGGCUUGAUAAGCCGGUUGUGAAAGCCCCGGGCUCAACCUGGGAACGGCAUCCGGAACUGUCAAGCUAGAGUGCAGGAGAGGAAGGUAGAAUUCCCGGUGUAGCGGUGAAAUGCGUAGAGAUCGGGAGGAAUACCAGUGGCGAAGGCGGCCUUCUGGACUGACACUGACACUGAGGUGCGAAAGCGUGGGUAGCAAACAGGAUGAGAUACCCCUGUAGUC